AGACAUUUGCGUCUUGGUCAAGUGAGUGGGAGAGAGUCUUCUGCAUGCCUAUCUGGGAGGUCCAAGACCCUCAUGCAGGACCAGGGUCAGACAGAGGUGGUUCUUGGGUGAAAGGGCGAGAUGGGGCGAGCCCUGAGCGUGCUGCUGUUCGUUGUGAUUCAGCCCUUACUUAAAGGAAAGCUGCCCCCUCCAAGGAAUGUCUCACUAAUUUCUGAAAACUUCAACUACUUUUUGCUGUGGGAAUCGGACCUAUCUGCAGGAAAUGAUCAUUAUGAAGCUGAGAUUAUUUCGUACGGGCGACGAAACCUGACUAAAAUGGAAGGCUCCAAGGAAAUUGUUUCGGGAUCCUCGUGGAAAUGUCAACUGCAUCUUCCGGACAUUCAUGGAUUGUACUGGGUCAGGGUGCGAAUGGUCAGUGGAACCAGGGUAUCCAAUUGGACUCUCUCCAAUGAGUUACAGCCCUACAGAGACAGUAAGGUCCUUUGGCAAUCUUGGGCCCUCCUCUCCUGUCUCUCAAGCUCAAUAAUCUGCAACUUCAAGUGAACGUCUCCUUGCCACUCACUUCCUACCGAAGGAGAGAUGGCUCGUUCAAGUCAGUUAAGGAUGUGAAAGUGAACGUGGAGUACAAGGUGGUGCUGUGUGAGGUGGACACCUUGAUCUGCACAACCAAGACCUGCAAACACAAUGCGAAAAUCACUUGCUUCCAGUUUAACUUCCUGAGACCAAACUGUCAGUACUGUAUUAGCAGCAGAGUGGAAGGCCACCAAAGCAAAGAGGCUAAACUCUGCAUCAGGACUCAGUUCAAGCCAAUAGGCUUGGAAUGGGUCGUCAUAAUUGUACUGACGGUCCUGGUAGUGCUGGUGCUGUUGGGGUGGAUCGUGUUCUUCUUCCUCAAGCGCUACGUGCAUCCCUGCCAAGCCGAAGCCCAGAUUCCCCGAAUACUGGCAACUUUCAAAGAAGAACUAAACGCGGACCUGCCCUGUGAGGAACCUGAAGUAGAAGCGAAUUCAGUCUUUCUGCUCUCGCCUGUCGAGAUCGUCUCGGCCGGAGAGGGUACCACCAAGCGACCGAGUUCCCCGAGCCAGGAGCUUUCAGGAAUCUACAAGGUCGACGGCGGGGCUGAAGACUAUCAGGAUAACGGGGUGGAUCCAGGCUACUCGGAGGCCUCUUCCAGGAAGACGGAUAGUUCAGAAGCUCUAGAUUUUGAAGCUUCCCCGGAGGCACCGAACUCGGCGAUCGGCGGCCAUCUCAGGCGUCUCCAUUGCUUUCCCCCACACCGGCGUCCGACUACGGAAGCGAGCAGCCUCCACCCGGGGGCCGGACCGCUAGACGCGAUGACCAAAGAGGCCUCCGCUGACGAAAGGGAUCACCGGGCCGAACCGACCUGGCAUAACAUUCCUCUGGCUUCUGUGAAAUUGCAAGGAGGUCAAGAGGCUGGGGACUGCCUUGGGCCUCUGAGAAGACUGUGUGAGACUGAGGCUAACGGGUCAAGCCGGGAAAGCUUAGAAGAUGUGGAAAAUGAUCCUGGCGGGUCCCUACCCGCGGGCCGUGACCAGCCUGGCCUGCCAGAUUUGCCAGGUAAUCCCAUAGCCGGGUCGGCCCCAAAUGGCUGCAAGACUGAAAUACUGGCCACCCCCAGCUAUGAGCUUCACUAUCUCCCUUUACUGAACAGGCAAGAUUCGGGCUCAGGGCCUAAGGGGAGGCUGUGCUUUGCCUAA
rnacentral:lncRNA from 1 species